UGUUACAGAAUUUAAUAGAUUUUAUAUACAGUUGACAUUCUUUGUAAAAAACCUGCAUUUGGCUUUUACACUGACACGUAUGUAGAAGUUUCUGUUUACGUCGUUGGGGCCUUUUGCAGCAGCAGCUGUAUCACCCACAGCGCGCAUGCGCCGCUGACCGCACACGAGUGACAACCGCGGAGAUUACCGGGACGUCACAGACGGAGCGGCCGCUGAUUGGUCCGUGCAAUCUUGCCUAAUCCCACCACCAAAGAGCAGCUGAGAGAGGGGGUGUCGCGCGCGUUCACCAUGUCGGAUGUUUAUUUAUAAAACAAAAUAGUUUCACCGCGUCGGUGGAGACGGAGCGACGCCGCCGGGCCGAAAAGUAGAGCUCCGAAAGCGGGGCGGCAGCGGCGGAGGGAUCUGGGGGACGCGGCUCGUCCGGCCGCCGCGGAUGACCGAGGCCCGGGCCCGCCCGCUUGUUGUGCUCUGGGCUCGGAUACGGCUCCGGUGAGACCCGGAUCAACGGCGUUAAUCACGGCUCGGAGAUUACCCUGGCCUGCACCAGCAGGAGGAGGAGGAAGAGGAAGAGGACCAGUGGGGGGGGCACAGUUAGAAAAGAUGAAGGCGCCGCUCCCCACGUGACCCACUUUGACUCGCACCUUAAAUCAGGACCGGGGCUGGCAUGGCUCCAGCAUGAGGGGCGUCUAGGGGCGGCUAUCUGUAUUUAUUAAGGGGGGGGGGGGGGGGGUGCAGGUUGUUUUCUUCUUCUGUGGUUCGCCCUCCUGCACAGGUCCGCGGUGCACUAGUUGAGAGGAAGUGGGUCAGGCCGCCGGUCCGCUUCCUAUAAAUUCUCCAUCCUCUUCAUCCUCAUCCUCACUUUGCGGUGCAUGGCUGGUGUCAGCGCGUCGGUAUGAUGGCCGCGUUCACUGGAGGCUCCUCCGCGGUGGCCGCGCACCACCCGCACCACCUCCCGCCUCCUCCCCCCCACGUUCACCACCACCACCACCACCACGCGGGGGGCCAGCACCACCUGCAGCUCGGCGCCGCCGCGGUGAUGCUCAACCCCGGGCAGCAGCAGCCGUACUUCCCGUCCCCGGCACCGGGACAAGCCCCCGGUCCGGCGGCCGCCGCGGCCCCGGUCAAAGCGCACCAUCACCGGCAGCACGCACACCACCUGCAGCCGCAGCUGGACAUCGAGCUGGACCGGCCCAUCGGGUACGGGGCGUUCGGGGUCGUCUGGUCGGUGACGGACCCGAGGGACGGUAAGAAGGUGGCCCUCAAGAAGAUGCCCAAUGUCUUCCAAAACCUGGUUUCUUGUAAGCGGGUGUUCCGGGAGCUGAAGAUGCUGAGCUUCUUCAAGCACGAGAACGUCCUCUCGGCUCUGGACAUUCUACAACCUCCUCACAUCGACUACUUUGAGGAGAUCUACGUGGUGACUGAACUCAUGCAGAGCGACCUCCAUAAGAUCAUCGUCUCACCUCAGCCGCUCAGCUCCGACCACGCCAAGGUCUUCCUCUAUCAGAUCCUACGAGGACUGAAAUACCUUCAUUCUGCUGGCAUCCUCCACCGAGACAUCAAGCCGGGGAACCUCCUGGUGAACAGCAACUGUGUGCUCAAGAUCUGUGACUUCGGCCUGGCCCGGGUGGAGGAGUCGGACGAGUCUCGGCACAUGACUCAGGAAGUGGUGACGCAGUACUACAGAGCUCCAGAGAUCCUCAUGGGGAGCCGCCAUUACUCCAACGCCAUCGACAUUUGGUCCGUGGGCUGCAUCUUCGCCGAGCUGCUGGGGAGACGCAUCCUCUUCCAGGCCCAGAGCCCCAUCCAGCAGCUGGAUCUCAUCACAGACCUGCUGGGCACGCCCUCCGUGGAGGCCGUGAGGACGGCGUGUGAAGGCGCCCGUGCACACGUCCACGGAGGAGCUCACAAACAGCCGUCCCUCCCGGUGCUCUACACGCUGUCGGGCCAGGCCACCCACGAGGCGGUGCACCUGCUCUGCAGGAUGCUGGUGUUCGACCCGUCCAAGAGGAUCUCGGCGAAGGACGCCCUGGCCCACCCGUACCUGGACGAGGGCCGGCUGCGCUACCACACCUGCAUGUGCGCGUGCUGCUACACCACGGCGUCCGGCCGCGUCUACACCAGCGACUUUGAGCCCGUCACCGAUCCCAAGUUCGACGACGGCUUCGAGAAGAACCUGAGCUCUGUGAGACGGGUCAAAGAGAUCAUCCACCAGUUCAUCCUGGAGCAGCAGAAGGGGAGUCGAGUGCCGCUCUGCAUCAACCCUCAAUCAGCUGCCUUCAAGAGCUUCAUUAGCUCCACUGUGGCUCAGCCCUCUGAAAUGCCUCCGUCUCCCCUGGCGUGGGAGUGACCUCCUGCUCCUGCUCCUCCUCCUCCUUCUCUUCCUCCUGCUCCUCCUCCUCCUGACUGACGAGCUGCUAAACCAGGAACAAGGAGGACGUCUGGACUGUCGUCCAUCGCAGCGUGGAGCGGGACUCGCAGAUCAGGAUCCGGUGUGUGACGGAGGUUCUCUGAAGAUCUCACGACCUCCUGACCUCAGUGUCCUGGUCUCAGCCUCUCCUCGGGGUCGUUGUUUAUUUGUUUACACCACCAAAGAAACCAGGAGCUCACUGAGCUGCUCAGGACCUUCUUCUCUGGUGCCGUUGCCGUGGACUCUGUCGCCCCCUGCUGGCCCCCCGGAGCCCUUCAUGCGUCCUCGUGACGUCAUACUGAGUCAGAAGGGCCUUUGCAGAGAGUGUAAUGUUCAGAGGAGGAGCCGUCACUUUGUUUUAUUUUUAUUGGAUUUAAACAAGAUGAUGAUAAUAAUCUGAUACACAGUCUGCUUGUCCUGGAGCUGUGCUGCCCCCUGCUGGUCCAGAGAGGAACAGCUCAGCUGGAAACACGCAACAACAUUUAUGAGAAUAACAAACAUUUAUGAGAUUAGACGAGACAUUCAUCGUUUUGAAUCUCAGAAAAAAAUUAAUUAGUUACCAGAGGUUAGUUCACUGAGGUUAGUUAACUGAGAUUAGUUAACUGAGAUUAGUUAGUUAACAGAUUCGUUAACUGAGAUUAGUUAACUGAGAUUAGUUAGUUAACUGAGAUUAGUUAACUGAGAUUAGUUAGUUAACUGAGGUUUGUUAACUGAGAUUAGUUAACUGAGGUUAGUUAACUGAGAUUAGUUAGUUAACUGAGAUUAGUUAGUUAACUGAGGUUUGUUAACUGAGGUUAGUUAACUGAUGUAGGUUAUUUCACUGAGGUUAGUUCAUUAACUGAGGUUAGUUAACACAGGUUAACUUCUACCAGACCAACAGAGAGUGACUGUUAGACGAGCUGGUCUCUGAAGGUUAAAGGUCAAAGGGAAACAUGGCCGACACUUCGGGGAAUCCUCUUGAAACACUUUAACCGGUUUAACCAGUUUAACCAUCCUAACCAUCUUAACCAGUAAUACCCUCCUCCUGCUCGCUCUACUUGAAUCUAUUCGCCGUGGAUUGAAUUCUAGCGUCCCGACGAGUAGCAUCGGACCGACGGAUGACACGGUGAGGGGAGGGACUAGAGGGAAGGGGAGGAGCCAGGGUAGAAGGGGAGGGGCUAGAUGGGAGGGGAGGAGCCAGGGUGGAAGGGGAGGGGCUAGAUGGGAGGGGAGGGGUUGAUCCAGCGAGCUCCGCUGCCCCCCUCCUCCACGUCAGGAAUUAAAUAUAUUUUUCGGGAAGUUUUCUAUUGGUUGCGUCUCCAUGUGAAUAAAUAUAGAUAUAAAGUUUAAAUAGAGGCAUAAACAAUAACCACUGUAGAGCCGUGUUGUCAGAUUUAUAUGGCCAGUAGUUCCUUUUUAUUUUUUAAAAACUACAACUUGCAUACAAAUUGUGUAAAUAUAUAUUUUGUGUAUUUGUACCCUGCGAGCCUCGUGAACCUCCGCCGCGUCUCCGAGGAGAAGCCAUGUUUGUUAUUGGUGGUGAUGAAGAUGAUGAUGAAGAGUCAUCAGAGCUGCAGCGUGUUGGACCUCCGGAUCAAUAACUUUGGCUUUUGUUUACCUCACAAUUUACAAACAAAAAACACUUGAAUGUCCAUUUGAAGCUUUUAUACAGAAAUUCUGUCACGUCCUUCCUGCUGAACCCCCCCCACACACACACACACAACGAACACCUGACAUCAAUACAUUAUUAUUAAUAUUAAUACCGAUAGCCAAGGUUCCCCGACUGUCGGUCCACGUUGUCUCUUCCACAGCGGUGCGUUCAAGGACCCCCCUACACAUGUGAUUAAACCGCCGCCGCAUUGCAUUGUGGGAUCAUUUCAAUUUGGAUACUGUAAUAUUUGACUUUUGGUUUAAUAUAAAAUAAAGUUGAGCAGCAUCUCGUCCAAUCAGGAGCCAGUAUUUAAUCAAGCUUUGUUCCUGUGACAACAUUAAAAAAAUAAGUUUUCAUAACUUCAUAUUUUGUGACGGCUGCUUUUCUGAUUAAAAAUCUAAAAUAAGUAAAUAAUACGUCAUUAUAAUUAAUAAAUAACGUUGUGACCAAAUAUAUAUGUCAUAUACAUAUAUAUAUUUAUAUAUAGAUAUAUAUAUUUAUAUAUAUAUAUAUUUAUAUACACUACCGUUCAAAAGUUUGGGGUCACUUAGAAAUGUCUUUAUUCUUCAAAGUAAAGCAGUUUUUUCAAUAAAGAUCACAUUAAUCAUAAAUACCCUCUAUACAUUGUUAAUGUGGUAAAUGACUAUUCUAGGUGGAAACGUCUGGUUUCUAAUGAAAUAGCUCCAGAGGUGUAUAGAGGCCCAUUUCCAUCAACUAUCACUCCAGUGUUCUAAUGGUACAUUGUGUUUGCUAAUCGCCUUAGAAGACUAAUAUCUGAUUAGAAAACCCUUGUGCAAUUAUGUUAGCACAGCUGAAAACAGUUAUGCUGGUGAUAUAAGCUGUACAACUGGCCUUCCUUUGAGCUUGAAGCUUGAAGAACAAAAUUAAUACUUCAAAUAUUAAUCAUUAUUUCUAACCUUGUCAAUGUCUUGACUAUAUUUUCUAUUCAAUUUUCAAUUCAUUUGAUAAAUAAAAGUGAAUUUUCAUGGAAGACACGAAAUUGAAUGGAUGACCCCAAACUUUUGAACGGUAGUGUAUAUAUAUAUAUAUAUAUAUAGAUAGAUGGAUAUGUAUAUCUAUAUAUUUAUAUGCAUUACAUUUUUACAUUACCGGUUCAACACUUCAAACUGAGUCUUGAGUCAUUUUAUGGUUUUAUCUGCUUUGUUAAGUAUUUUUAAAAUAGUUUUAUCAUUAAGUCACAUUAAUAAUAAACUAGUUUUUAGUUAUUUAAUUAAUUAAUUAGAAUCUUAUCCUCAUGGAUUUCGUCGUGUUUCUGAAUUUGCUGUGUUUCUGAAUUUAAUAGUUUUUUAAAUAUGAUUAAAUGUUAAAGGAUAAACUUCCUCCACCAAACUAUAUAUAUAUUGAUUCUCUGAUGUCAUUGUUUUACUAGUAUACUUAUUUUUUAAUCCAGUUUGUUGUUGUUAUGUUAGAGGAUGAAGUUUAAACUAAAGGCUCAUAAUCUGAAUUCCGUUAUGAAGAAUAACCACAGGGUGGCGCUGUGGUGGAUCAUCCAUCUGAAUUAAUGGGGAUUUUUCUCAGGAAUUAAGUCACCUUCAGUAGUCGGACCCCCCCCCCCCCCCCAUGUCACCUGUGUAAUAUCGUCAUCAUGUUUCCUUUAUGUUAUAUCUUCUGUCUGAAUGCAGAAUUUAAAUGAAGUUAUUCUCAUUUUAAAUAGUAGAUUAAUAACUAAUCACCAGAAAACUACUGGAUUCCUAUGAUUUGCUGUCACAUACAAUGUUUGUUUAUUUGAUGUUUUAAUCAGAUGCAUUGUAAUUUGAAUAAAACCUGCAGUGUGUAUAUAUAUAUAUAACCGAGGCGUGUGGAGCUGCCCUGACGUGGUUUCAGGUCACCAGACCAUGAACACAUUAAAUGUGGCGUUUAAAGAA